rnacentral:pre_miRNA from 1 species
GGCACAAACUUGAAGUAGAAUAGUUGGGUAUGGUCAGCUGAUCCUACUAAUCUACUCUACUUCAAGUUUGUGCUC